CAACCCUCAAGCCCCGCUUGGUGUUGGGGCCCUACGGUUUGACGUAGGCCCUUAAAGGUAGUGGCGGACCCUCCCGGAGCCUCCUUUGCGUAGUAACUUAACGUCUCGCACUGGGAUCCGGAGGGACUCCUGCCGUAAAACCCCCAAAACUUUUACA
rnacentral:misc_RNA from 1 species